GCAAGUCGAACGCCAGCGAAAGGUGCUUGCACCUUUCAAGUGAGUGGCGAACGGGUGAGUAACACGUGGACAACCUGCCUCAAGGCUGGGGAUAACAUUUGGAAACAGAUGCUAAUACCGAAUGAAACUUAGUGUCGCAUGACACGAAGUUAAAAGGCGCUUUGGCGUCACCUAGAGAUGGAUCCGCGGUGCAUUAGUUAGUUGGUGGGGUAAAGGCCUACCAAGACAAUGAUGCAUAGCCGAGUUGAGAGACUGAUCGGCCACAUUGGGACUGAGACACGGCCCAAACUCCUACGGGAGGCUGCAGUAGGGAAUCUUCCACAAUGGGCGAAAGCCUGAUGGAGCAACGCCGCGUGUGUGAUGAAGGCUUUCGGGUCGUAAAGCACUGUUGUAUGGGAAGAACAGCUAGAAUAGGGAAUGAUUUUAGUUUGACGGUACCAUACCAGAAAGGGACGGCUAAAUACGUGCCAGCAGCCGCGGUAAUACGUAUGUCCCGAGCGUUAUCCGGAUUUAUUGGGCGUAAAGUGAGCGCAGACGGUUGAUUAAGUCUGAUGUGAAAGCCCGGAGCUCAACUCCGGAAUGGCAUUGGAAACUGGUUAACUUGAGUGCAGUAGAGGUAAGUGGAACUCCAUGUGUAGCGGUGGAAUGCGUAGAUAUAUGGAAGAACACCAGUGGCGAAGGCGGCUUACUGGACUGUAACUGACGUUGAGGCUCGAAAGUGUGGGUAGCAAACAGGAUUAGAUACCCUGGUAGUCCACACCGUAAACGAUGAACACUAGGUGUUAGGAGGUUUCCGCCUCUU
rnacentral:rRNA from 1 species